rnacentral:rRNA from 1 species
GAUGAACGCUGGCGGCGCGCCUAACACAUGCAAGUCGAACGAUUAAAGCACCUUCGGGUGUGUAUAAAGUGGCGAACGGCGGAGUAACACGUGGGCAAACUGCCCCUUUCAUUGGGAUAGCCAGGGGAAACCGUGGAUAAUACCGAAUACUUCGAGACUUCCGCAUGGAAGACCCGAGAAAGCUCCGGCGGCGCGGGAUGGGCCCGCGGCCUGUUGGCUUGUUGGUGGGGUAACGGCCUACCAAGGCAAUGCUGGGUUGCUGGGUUGAGAGACCGACCAGCCAGAUUGGGACUGAGACACGGCCCAGACUCCUACGGGAGGCAGCAGUGGGGAAUCUUGCACAAUGGGCGAAAGCCUGAUGCAGCGACGCCGCGUGCGGGAUGAAGGCCUUCGGGUUGUAAACCGCUUUCAGCAGGGACGAGGCGAAAGUGACGGUACCUGCAGAAGAAGCCCCGGCUAACUACGUG